AUUGAACGCUGGCGGCAGGCCUAACACAUGCAAGUCGAACGGAGUGGCGCACGGGUGAGUAAUGUCUGUGUAAUUGCCCGAUGGCUGGGGGUCACUACUGGAAAAGGUAUCUUAUAACGCCUACCCUCGGAUGUGCCCAGAUGGGAUUAGCUUGUAGGUGGGGUAACGGCUCACCAAGGCGACGACCCCUAACUGGUCUGAGAGGAUGAUCAGCCACACUGGAACUGUGAAACGGUCCAGACUCCUACGGGAGGCAGCAGUGGGGAAUAUUUCAAAAGGGGCGGAAGCCUGAUCCAGCCAUGCCGCGUGUGUGAAGAAGGUCUUCGGAUUGUAAAGCACUUUAAGUUGGGAGGCGUUACCAACAGAAUAAGCACCGGCUAACUUCGUGCCAGCAGCCGCGGUAAUUC
rnacentral:rRNA from 1 species